AGAUAUAUAUAGAUCUAUAUAUAUCAUAGAGCACUAAACAUUGAUCUAUCCAGAGACUCUUCCCUUGCGUUAGGCAUUCUAUAAACACACAUUACAGAAUUUGGUGGCAUUAAUUUCACCAGUGAUUAGACCUUUUAGCAAAGUUUGCCAUUUUUUUUUUUUUUUUCAGUGGUAUUCUUUAAGCUACAAUAACAGAUGUUCUAGACUUUCUAGGUCUGGUGCAUCAGAGUUCGGUAUUUUUGCAGUUAUCCAAUUAAUGAAAAUUUUAAUCUUUUCGUGUCAUUAAAAUAAAAAAUAAAAAAAUCACAAAGUUAUAACAUUUGUAAUCCCUCGAAUGAAACUAAAUGGCAAUUGUUUUGCCAUUUGAUAGUGGCAUAUUUUUGUAUUCCUACCUGUAGAUUUAAGGAUUACGUUCACCACAAAAUGUAUUUUGUCAUAUUCCCUUUUAAUCUGUAUAUAAAUGCCGCUUAAUAAAUAAGUGUACAGUUUAAUCCUCAACUGUGUUUUCUUCACUACUCUUUGAACUCAAAGAGUAAUGGUGUAAUGGUAAGAAGUAGGAUGAUGCCAUUUUGGUGGGUGAUGUGUCCUAAGUGUAGGACAAUGUUAUACUUUGUAUCUAUGCUGUUAAAACAAUUGUACAUAAAAUGGCAUCAAUCUGCUUUCAAAGAGAAGCUGUGGUUGAUACAGCAUGAGAUAUGGAGAGCAGUGACCAAAACACGACUGGUGAACUCUACUGCUCUUUCAAGUUAUCACGUUUCUUGGUAGAUUUUAAUUUUUGUUUUGCUUUUUUUUUUUAAUCUUUAUUUUAUUUAAUUUUUUUCAAUUUGUAAUUUUUUUUUUAUCCAAUACUUUCAAAUAUUUGAAAUACAGGUUGUUCAUAACAUGGGAAAUAUGUUAUUAAAUCCAGCUGUUAUGUAUUGCUAUAAAUGCUUUAUUAUACAUUUUAGAAAUUAAAAAGUCUAGAAGGAAAUUCUUGCUUCUCCAGUGCUGGCUUUCACACUGAAAUUCUGCACUUUCCCUCUCACUGACUUCACUGACACUUAAAGGAAUACUGACACUAAAAUAGUAAAGUGUUCUAACUGUUAUAUAAUUAAAGUGUCUCUGUUACCUGGAAAAUUAUGGGUGUGAAAUAUGUAGUUUCCAACAAAUAUAAUUUUCAGCCAAUCAAACUAUAGUAAAUUAAGUUAUAUAUCCC